CGGUCGGGGGUGGGGUUCUGCAGCCGGCUGCCCCCUCCCGGGCCUGAGACUGGGUUCCCGGAAGGCCGCGCGGCGUUAGACGCUCAGUGCCUGUUCAGCGCGCCAGUGGCCGGAGGGUGAAUUAACGCAUUACUAGAAUAUUCAGGGAGUGUGGCUUCCGGUUUCUUAUUGUAUCACCUGCUCUAAAACACUGUUGGGCCCAUGCGAAGCACUGAGUCUAUGUGUGACUAUUGCUCUGAUGGCCAGUUUCAAACUGCCGACCUUGGGCAUCUGAAGCAAUGUGAAAUGUCUUGAGUGCAGAGUUGGGAACAGCAUUCCCACCCUAUGGGUACAACAGACGGCGAUGGACAUCCCACCCGUCACUUCCAGGAUCCCAUGAUGGCUGGAGACAGAGACUCUCCCGCUGGCCUCGCAGGAGGGAACAGCCACGUUGUGAAAGCCGCUGGAGAGGGGAGCUUGGCCCGGGACUGCGGAGGCCUCUGGGACCUGAGGGCAACCAGCAGCCCAGGAGAAACCAGGCCGACACCUCGACUGCGGCCACGCGGGACCCUGAGCAGAGGACCCGCUGAGCCGCGCCCGGACCCCUGCCCUGCAGACCCCGAGGCACAGCUGAGCUGACCAAGGCACUCCCCUCACUGACCGCUGCUCUGUCACCUCUGAAAACGUGUCGUCUAACACUUCAGAGCUCCGAUGAGAUCGCCAUUAGCUGUGUCAUCAUGUCCCCUCUGCGCUGCGCCCCAGACACACUCAGGGCCCAACUCGGCCUCCACGGAUGCUGCCACGCUCCUGGCUUGAAUUUGCACGGAUGCUCCCACCCUGAUGGGCACUCAGCAGUCAUCAGAUGCAUGAAAGGACGGAGCUUAGGGCCUGGGGAAAGGAACCCCCAGGACAACCUUCCGAUUACCCCCCAUUCAACCUCGGGGACAAAUGCAGCCCCAGGAACCAUCCAGCCGACGUGGGAUCCGUGUGGGCAUGGUUUCCAGGCCUGGCAGACUGGCUCGCUCUCCUUCCAGUUUAGCUGUGCCUCGUCACCUGCCUCUCACUACCCAAGCCCGCCUCGCUCCUGUGCAGUCACAGGAGCCGCGCUUGGCCUGCCCAGGGCUCAGCCAAGCCUGGCUCAUGGCUGUGUCCCCGUCCCCAGGUCUGCGCCUGUCUCCCGGGCACACCAGCCUGGCGGCCACGCUCCUUUGGUGGAGGAGCCCUGCUUCCACCCCGCUUCUGGGGGUCUGCACAUCGCUGGCCCUGCCCUUGCGCUUUGCUCUGCGGGAUUUCAUAAGAGAGAACCAGGCCUCUGGGCCCCAGCGUUCUGUGGCCCCCGGUGCCCAGCUGAUGGGCAGGCUGCCGAGAGGGGAGCCUGAUGCACCCUGCGCUGCCCGGCUGCAGGGCCAAAUCUGUCCGGGAGGCUGGCCCAGCCAAGACGAAAGGGGGCAGCUGCCCACAUGGGACCCCCAGCCCGUUUUCUGCAAACAAAGGCCCGGCAGCCUGGAGCCCACGCUGCAACUCUGUUGAAACCUCGAGGUGACUCCCUAUUAACCACUCCCUUUGGUGCUUCAAGACCAAAAAGGGAGUAAAGCAAACCUCUUUCUAAGCAGGAAGAGCUUUCCAGAGCAAAGGGCGUCCCCCAGCCCUGCUGCCAGCGGAGCACGAGAAGGCCCUGGGCCUCCCAGACUCACACAGCUGGGAGCUGCCUGGCGCGGGGUCUGGACCAGAGGCAGGG